rnacentral:rRNA from 1 species
UGGGGAAUAUUGCACAAUGGGCGCAAGCCUGAUGCAGCCAUGCCGCGUGUAUGAAGAAGGCCUUCGGGUUGUAAAGUACUUUCAGCGGGGAGGAAGGCGAUAAGGUUAAUAACCUUGUCGAUUGACGUUACCCGCAGAAGAAGCACCGGCUAACUCCGUGCCAGCAGCCGCGGUAAUACGGAGGGUGCAAGCGUUAAUCGGAAUUACUGGGCGUAAAGCGCACGCAGGCGGUCUGUCAAGUCGGAUGUGAAAUCCCCGGGCUCAACCUGGGAACUGCAUUCGAAACUGGCAGGCUAGAGUCUUGUAGAGGGGGGUAGAAUUCCAGGUGUAGCGGUGAAAUGCGUAGAGAUCUGGAGGAAUACCGGCGGCGAAGGCGGCCCCCUGGACAAAGACUGACGCUCAGGUGCGAAAGCGUGGGGAGCAAACA